rnacentral:lncRNA from 1 species
AAAAAUAUUUAAAUUUCAAUUAAAAUAAACAUGCUUCUGAGAUUCAAAUUCGGUUUUCAGAUUUCUUCUUCUUCAUCAACUCCUCUUUAUCUUUUUCUUCCUCAUUCUUCAUCCAAACUAAAGAAACGUCUUGAGCUACAACACACCUACGAGAUUCUCUCCGAUUCAUAAACCACCUACGAGAUUCUAACCAAUCCCAAAUCCUCAUCUUAGAUCUGGAGGUUGAAUUUGAAGGUGGAUGUUGCUGGUAGAGGUGGCGAAUAAUGGUGACGGCAUGGUGAUGGAUGAGAGUCACGUGAGAAGGAGAGUGAGAACAGCCAGGUUGUGGCUGUCGCCGACGAUGGAAGAUUUAGUGGUUGGUGACCCGGACACCGAUGGUGAUGACGGUGGUGCCAUGGUAGCGCGACGAGGACGAUGGCGGAUGAGUGUUAAUUUGCGGUGACUUGAUAGCUGGGUUUGUGACGUUUCUUGUUCUCUUCCACUGUUUAUAAUUUUCUGAAAGAAGUGAUUUUUUUCCCCUUGUAUUUGUUUUACUUUGUUGUUAGUUUUGGUUUGGAAUGGGUAGAAAAGAUGGGGAUAUUUUGUUAUGAAUUGAGUUCAUGGUGAUUUGAUUUGUAGAUGGGGAUGUGUUUAUAAAUGAUAUUUUAUAACGGUGUUGAAUAAUCAUCUUUCUACAAUUAUUAUAUUUGGACCAUGAAGAAAAUGUGGCUUAAGUGUUGCGCUCCAGAUAGACAUCAUUUUCUCCUCUGUGUGAACAUAAUGUGUUUUUCUUUCGACUAAGGAAAUAUUUCUAAUGUAACGUGUAGUCCUUGAAUGUCAGUGACUCUCUUGUUACUAUUUAAUACAUACAUUAUUUUUGCAUUUUUUGAAAUCUGAAUAAUUACUGAUGUAGUAAG